CACGUAGGGGACGAGCGUUGUCCGGAUUCAUUGGGCGUAAAGCGCGCGUAGGCGGCUCGGAAAGUCGGUCGUGAAAUGCCGGGGCUCAACCCCGGGACUGCGUCCGAUACUCUCGAGCUGGAGGCAGGUAGGGGAGAUCGGAAUUCCUGGUGUAGCGGUGAAAUGCGUAGAUAUCUGAAGGAACAUCAGUGGCGAAAGCGACUUCCUGGACCAAUACUGACGCUCAUGUGCGAAAGCGUGGGGAG
rnacentral:rRNA from 1 species